CCCGUUUCCCCGCGGUCGGUUGCGUCCUCUUGAGCGGAAGUUCACGAGUUUAAUGAAAUCGGAGAUCCGAGACCGCUAGAGAUCAUCCUCUGGUUGCACCCAGGUUCCCGGGAGGAACCGCAGAUGAACAAUUAACCUCUUUGAAGGCAUCACAAGCAUUUGUCAAAUGGGCACACCUCUGCAGCUCCAGGAUAGAAAGAAGUUAAAUGUCUCAGAGAUACCCUAGAUUACACAUGUUCAAGGCUGAACCAUAGUUCCCUCCAGCCCUGCUUCUCCUCCAGUGUUUCCUGUUGUAGCAAAUGGAUAAUUUACAGUCUCUGAUGAAGAGUCUUAGGGGACCUUCGUGAAAACUGGAGAUCCAGACAACGUUGCUGGCCUGGAACUCACAUGUAUGCCAGGCUGGUCUGAAUCUCCCAGUGAUCUUCCUAUCUCAGGCUCAUGAGUGCUGGGAUUAGAGUUGCAUAGAUAAGAAGAUGUGGUUACAGCUGACCGCUGACUUCAAGAUAUCUUGCUGCAAAAGGAAGGGUAUCAAGAAUAGAUUAUCUAAGGGGGCAGGAUGAUCAGGGAGAGGACUCUUAAGGCAACAAGACAUCUCUUCUGGGUUCUCAUUUUCUACCUGUAACACU